AUAGAACGCUGGCGGCAUGCCUUACACAUGCAAGUCGAACGGCAGCACGGGUGCUUGCACCUGGUGGCGAGUGGCGAACGGGUGAGUAAUAUAUCGGAACGUACCUUAUUGUGGGGGAUAACGCAGCGAAAGCUGUGCUAAUACCGCAUAAUCCCUAAGGGGGAAAGCGGGGGACUGUAAGGCCUCGCGCAAUUAGAGCGGCCGAUACCUGAUUAGCUAGUUGGUGAGGUAAAGGCUCACCAAGGCAACGAUCAGUAGCUGGUCUGAGAGGACGAUACGCCACACGGGGACUGGGACACGGCCCAGACUCCUACGGGAGGCAGCAGUGGGGAAUUUUGGACAAUGGGGGCAACCCUGAUCCAGCAAUGCCGCGUGAGUGAAGAAGGCCUUCGGGUUGUAAAGCUCUUUUGUCAGGGAAGAAACAGCAGCUCUAACACAGUUUGCGAAUGACGGUACCUGAAGAAUAAGCACCGGCUAACUACGUGCCAGCCGCCGCAGUAA
rnacentral:rRNA from 1 species